UUCUCUCUUGUGACGUCUUUUUCUCCUUGGUCUUUGAUUAUGAUCAUCUUUCUCGUCUUGCAUCGUUGUGGUUUUCUCUCUUGUAUCUUUUCUCUCACGAGUCGCUGCUAUUAUGUGGCUUUGUUGUGACUUGUGACUAAUAACUCUAUGUAUCUAAAUAUCUAUGCUUAUAUAAUAUGUAUAGUUACUAGUAAGAGUCAGCAGUCGGCGGUCAGCACUCCAUAGGGUUAAUGGGUUAUGCGUAUAUUAUUUGCUUUAAUAGUACAAUUAAUAUAAUACAUCAACACUAGCUUAUGAUUGAUGAGUGGAAGGACAUAAUAACUUGCCUACUUGGCAUGUGCCUAUCUGUAAAUUGUUUUUUAGGAUAAUGCUAGUAGGGUCUCAAUUGUACUUAUCAUCAUUAUAUUGGUAUGUAAUAAUUGCUAAUGACCCACCAUGAUAUUGUACAAUCAAUAUAAUGAUAACAUGUGUAUUUGAAAGUUGAAACACAUUGAGACCCUUAGCAUCACCCAUUUUUUUAACCAUCACAUAUCAACUAGGACUACUACAACCUGUUUCAACCUUAUUCUAGUUUCAUCAUUCAUCUCACA
rnacentral:lncRNA from 1 species